AAGACUAUACUUCACAGGAUCAUUUCUGUAGUCAGUCUUCAUUUACUUUCUUUGCAAAUCGAAAGUCGACAGACCCGCGAUGAGGAGCGAUAUCGUUUCAUCUAACAGCGUGAGGUAUAUGAACUUAAUUUCUAAUUAUGUCCUAAGGCAUUUUGGAAAAGUAGUUUCUUCGAUGAUCGCUCGAUUAUAAAAUGGAUGAAACGACUUCUGAGUGGU